AUGGACACCGGCGAGCCCAAGGCCAAGGCCGCCAAGGUGUGCCGCGCGUGCGGCGACGAUGUCGGGACGCGGGAGGACGGCAGCCCGUUCGUGGCGUGCGCCGAGUGCGGGUUCCCCGUGUGCCGGCCGUGCUACGAGUACGAGCGCAGCGACGGCACGCAGUGCUGCCCCCAGUGCAACACCCGCUACAAGCGCCACAAAGGUUGCCCGAGGGUGGAAGGGGACGAAGAGGACGGCGACAUGGACGACUUAGAAGACGAGUUUCAGGUUAAGAGCCCCAAGAAGCCUCACGAGCCUGUCCCGUUCGACGUCUACUCGGAGAACGGCGAGCAGCCGCCGCAGAAGUGGCGCUCUGGUGGCCCGGCGAUGUCCUCCUUCGGCGGAAGCGUGGCUGGCAAGGAGCUUGAGGCGGAGCGGGAGAUGGAGGGGAGCAUGGAGUGGAAGGAGAGGAUCGACAAGUGGAAGACCAAGCAGGAGAAGAGGGGCAAGCUCAACCGCGACAACAGCGACGACGACGACGACGACAAGAACGACGACGAGUACAUGCUGCUGGCGGAGGCGCGUCAGCCGCUGUGGCGCAAGCUGCCGGUGCCGUCGAGCCAGAUCAACCCGUACCGCAUCGUCAUCGUGCUCCGCCUGGUGGUGCUCUGCUUCUUCCUCCGCUUCCGGAUCAUGACGCCGGCCAACGACGCCAUCCCGCUGUGGCUGGUGUCCGUCAUCUGCGAGCUCUGGUUCGCGCUCUCCUGGAUCCUGGACCAGCUGCCCAAGUGGUCGCCGGUGACCCGGGAGACGUACCUGGACCGGCUGGCCCUCCGGUACGACCGCGAGGGCGAGCCGUCCCGGCUGUCCCCCAUCGACUUCUUCGUGAGCACGGUGGACCCGCUCAAGGAGCCCCCCAUCAUCACGGCCAACACCGUGCUCUCCAUCCUCGCCGUGGACUACCCCGUGGACCGCAACAGCUGCUACGUCUCCGACGACGGCGCCUCCAUGCUCUGCUUCGACACCCUCUCCGAGACGGCCGAGUUCGCGCGCCGCUGGGUGCCCUUCUGCAAGAAGUUCGCCAUCGAGCCCCGCGCCCCCGAGUUCUACUUCUCCCAGAAGAUCGACUACCUCAAGGACAAGGUGCAGCCGACGUUCGUCAAGGAGCGCCGCGCCAUGAAGCGCGAGUACGAGGAGUUCAAGGUGCGGAUCAACGGCCUGGUGGCCAAGGCCGAGAAGAAGCCCGAGGAAGGGUGGGUGAUGCAGGACGGCACGCCCUGGCCCGGGAACAACACCAGGGACCACCCCGGGAUGAUCCAGGUGUACCUGGGCAGCCAGGGCGCGCUGGACGUGGAGGGCCACGAGCUGCCCCGGCUGGUCUACGUGUCCCGUGAGAAGCGGCCCGGCCACAACCACCACAAGAAGGCCGGCGCCAUGAACGCGCUGGUGCGGGUGUCGGCGGUGCUCACCAACGCGCCCUUCAUCCUCAACCUCGACUGCGACCACUACGUGAACAACAGCAAGGCCGUCCGCGAGGCCAUGUGCUUCCUCAUGGACCCGCAGCUCGGCAAGAAGCUCUGCUACGUCCAGUUCCCGCAGCGCUUCGACGGCAUCGACCUCCACGACCGUUACGCCAACCGCAACGUCGUCUUCUUCGACAUCAACAUGAAGGGGCUGGACGGCAUACAGGGCCCGGUGUACGUUGGCACGGGGUGCGUGUUCAACAGGCAGGCGCUGUACGGGUACGACCCGCCGCGGCCGGAGAAGAGGCCGAAGAUGACGUGCGACUGCUGGCCGUCGUGGUGCUGCUGCUGCUGCUGCUUCGGCGGAGGGAAGCACCGCAAGUCAAACAAGGAGAAGAAGGGCGGCGGCGGCGACGACGAGCCGCGGCGCGGGCUCCUGGGGUUCUACAAGAAGCGGGGCAAGAAGGACAAGCUCGGCGGCGGGCCGAAGAAGGGGUCGUACAGGAAGCAGCAGCGCGGGUACGAGCUGGAGGAGAUCGAGGAGGGCAUCGAGGGGUACGACGAGCUGGAGCGCUCGUCGCUCAUGUCGCAGAAGAGCUUCCAGAAGCGGUUCGGGCAGUCGCCGGUGUUCAUCGCCUCCACGCUCGUCGAGGACGGCGGAUUGCCGCAGGGCGCCGCCGCCGACCCCGCCGGCCUCAUCAAGGAGGCCAUCCACGUCAUCAGCUGCGGGUACGAGGAGAAGACCGAGUGGGGCAAAGAGAUUGGGUGGAUCUACGGGUCGGUGACAGAGGACAUCCUGACGGGGUUCAAGAUGCACUGCCGUGGGUGGAAGUCUGUCUACUGCACGCCCACGCGGCCAGCGUUCAAGGGAUCGGCGCCCAUCAACUUGUCGGACAGGCUUCACCAGGUGCUCCGGUGGGCGCUCGGCUCCGUCGAGAUCUUCAUGAGUCGCCACUGCCCGCUCUGGUACGCCUACGGCGGCCGUCUCAAGUGGCUCGAGCGCUUCGCCUACACCAACACCAUCGUCUACCCCUUCACCUCCAUUCCCCUCAUUGCCUACUGCACCAUCCCCGCCGUCUGCCUCCUCACCGGCAAGUUCAUCAUCCCCACGCUCAACAACCUGGCGAGCAUCUGGUUCAUCGCCCUGUUCAUGUCCAUCAUCGCGACGGGGGUGCUGGAGCUCCGGUGGAGCGGGGUGAGCAUCGAGGACUGGUGGCGUAACGAGCAGUUCUGGGUCAUCGGCGGCGUGUCGGCGCACCUGUUCGCCGUCUUCCAGGGCUUCCUCAAGGUGCUGGGCGGCGUGGACACCAACUUCACCGUCACCUCCAAGGCGGGCGCCGACGAGGCCGACGCCUUCGGCGACCUCUACCUCUUCAAGUGGACAACCCUGCUGAUCCCACCCACCACGCUCAUCAUCAUCAACAUGGUCGGCAUCGUCGCCGGCGUCUCCGACGCCGUCAACAACGGGUACGGGUCCUGGGGCCCGCUCUUUGGGAAGCUCUUCUUCUCCUUCUGGGUCAUCGUCCACCUCUACCCGUUCCUCAAGGGGCUCAUGGGGAGGCAGAACCGGACACCCACCAUCGUUGUGCUCUGGUCUGUCCUGCUCGCCUCCAUCUUCUCCCUUGUGUGGGUCAGGAUCGACCCCUUCAUUGCCAAGCCCAAGGGACCCAUCCUUAAGCCGUGUGGAGUACAGUGCUGA
rnacentral:rRNA from 1 species